UCAGAACGAACGCUGGCGGCAGGCUUAACACAUGCAAGUCGAGCGCCCCGCAAGGGGAGCGGCAGACGGGUGAGUAACGCGUGGGAACGUACCCUUUACUACGGAAUAACGCAGGGAAACUUGUGCUAAUACCGUAUGUGCCCUUCGGGGGAAAGAUUUAUCGGUAAGGGAUCGGCCCGCGUUGGAUUAGCUAGUUGGUGGGGUAAAGGCCUACCAAGGCGACGAUCCAUAGCUGGUCUGAGAGGAUGAUCAGCCACAUUGGGACUGAGACACGGCCCAAACUCCUACGGGAGGCAGCAGUGGGGAAUAUUGGACAAUGGGCGCAAGCCUGAUCCAGCCAUGCCGCGUGAGUGAUGAAGGCCCUAGGGUUGUAAAGCUCUUUCACCGGAGAAGAUAAUGACGGUUC
rnacentral:rRNA from 1 species